rnacentral:lncRNA from 1 species
UAGCCAAGACCUUUCCUAAUUGCCCCCUCCUCCCCAAGAGUUAGCACAUGCCUAUCUCAUCCCCCACAGUAAAAGGGAUUACCCAUUAUUACAAUUGGCUAAUAUAUACUGUUUGAUUUGGUUGUUUUUAUAAAAAUCCUUAUCUUCUCCCUGAGAAUUAAUAGUAUCAGUUCUAAGACAGAAGAGUGGUCACACAGCCAGGCAAUGUCUGAGGCCACAUUUGAACUCGGGACCCGACUUUAUGCUGGGCCACCUAACUGCCCUUAGCUUAUACUGUUUAAUAGUUUUCAUUUGCAGCACCCUUUUUACAAAAGAGGAAACUGAGGCUCACCAAGAUUAAAUGAUUUGCCCAUGGUUACAUAGCUUGUAGUGCUGGUAAUGGUGAUUGUUCAGUCAUUUCUGACUCUUCACAAUCCCAUUUGGGAUUUUCUUAACAAAGGUACUGGAGUGGUUUGCCAUUUCCUUCUUCAGCUCAUUUGGCAGAUGAGAAAACUAAAGCAAGUGAUUUGCCCAGGGUCACACAGGAUCAUAGAUUCAGCACUGGAAGGCAACUUAGAAAACUUUGAGUCCAAAUAUCCUAAUUUGGCUUGAGAUGAGGAAACUGAGGCUGAGAUGUAUUUUGGGCAAAUUUCUUAACUUUAAACCAUGGGUCCUGACGAUGGAGGAAUUGAAGGAGUUACAGCAGCAGCCGCAUAUGGAGAUUUUGCAGGAAA